UGGGGGAUAUUGCACAAUGGGCGAAAGCCUGAUGCAGCGACGCCGCGUGGGGGAUGAAGGCCUUCGGGUUGUAAACUUCUUUUGCUCUGAACAAGGCAUGCUAAUGGGUGUGUUGAGUGUAGGGGUUGAUUAGCGCCGGCUAACUACGUGCCAGCAGCCGCGGUAAUACGUAGGGCGCGAGCGUUGUCCGGAAUUAUUGGGCGUAAAGGGCUUGUAGGUGGCUGGUUGCGUCUGUCGUGAAAGCUCAUGGCUUAACUGUGGGUUUGCUGUGGGUACGGGCUGGCUUGAGUGCAGUAGGGGAGGCUGGAAUUCCUGGUGUAGCGGUGGAAUGCGCAGAUAUCAGGAAGAAUACCGGUGGCGAAGGCGGGUCUCUGGGCUGUUACUGACACUGAGGAGCGAAAGCAUGGGGAGCGAACAGG
rnacentral:rRNA from 1 species